rnacentral:rRNA from 1 species
GGACGGGGCCCGCACAAGCGGUGGAGUAUGUGGUUUAAUUCGAUGCAGCGCGAAGAACCUUACCUGGUCUUGACAUCCCGGAGACCCUUAGGAAACUAGGGGUGCUUCCAUCUGGAAGAAUCUGGAGACAGGUGCUGCAUGGCUGUCGUCAGCUCGUGUCGUGAGAUGUUGGGUUAAGUCCCGCAACGAGCGCAACCCUUGCCUUUAGUUGCCAGCAGUUCGGCUGGGCACUCUAAAGGGACUGCCGGUGUUAAACCGGAGGAAGGUGGGGAUGACGUCAAGUCCUCAUGGCCUUUAUGACCAGGGCUACACACGUACUACAAUGGCCGAUACAAAGGGCAGCGACACUGCGAGGUGAAGCCAAUCCCGUAAAAUCGGUCUCAGUCCGGAUUGGAGUCUGCAACUCGACUCCAUGAAGUUGGAAUCGCUAGUAAUCGUGGAUCAGCAUGCCACGGUGAAUACGUUCCCGGGCCUU